rnacentral:rRNA from 1 species
UACGAAGGGUGCAAGCGUUACUCGGAAUUACUGGGCGUAAAGGGCGCGUAGGCGGCCACCGCAAGUCAGUUGUGAAAUCUCUGGGCUUAACCCAGAAAGGUCAACUGAUACUGCGGGGCUAGAGUGCAGAAGGGGCAACUGGAAUUCUCGGUGUAGCGGUGAAAUGCGCAGAUAUCGGGAGGAACACCAGUAGCGAAGGCGGCUCGCUGGGCCACACCUGACGCUGAGACGCGAAAGCUAGGGGAGCGAACAGG